rnacentral:lncRNA from 1 species
AGAAUGAAACUACCUCCUCCAGAGAAACCAGCCAAGAGAUGCAGAGAAAUGGAGCUCCUCCAGCUUCAGCGAUGUCCCCGGAUCCACUCUUCAUGGGAAGCAGUCCCAUCUUUAGCUCCCCAGGUCUUACAUCUUUAAAGCAGCAAGUCUGUCCCCUUCGUGCUCAUUGAGAAUAUCUGAUACCUUCAUGUUUGGACUCAUCCAGCCCCCAUCUCCUCAGUCUAUCUCAGAUCUGACAGUGGAGGCUGCUUUGUCCAGGACCAACCUUUUCUCUUGCCUCAUUUCUGCUAUGCCAGCUGAUGAAGAGCAUGCUAUGCCCUCAGCUUCUUGGACUUCACCCUGGCCCUGGAAGUCUGCCGGAAAUCACUGAGGGUUUCUGUAUUGUUGAAUGAUGCGAUCUGCCUUCCUUUGGGAAGAUAACCUUGUCCUGGGAUUAGGAAGAGGAGGAAGAGCUCUACACCCACCUGAUCUGUUCUGGAGCCAGACUUCCUUGGUUCAAAUCCCAAUUCUGCCACAUACUACCUCUGUUACUUUGGGGAAGGGGAGCUCUUCCAGGCCUCUGACUUGUGAAGACAGACACUGCAGAGGACUUUUUGCUGAGAAAAGAAGCUGAAUGAAGGGAUGGAUGUCUUUAAAAGGCCCGGUCUUGGGGGUCCAUCACCUCUCUAAGAACCAUCUUCAUCUCCUCCUCCUCCUCUGUGCCCUUCCAGGAAAAGAGGAGCAGACUCCUCUGCUCCCAGGUGGAGAAAAGCAUGAAUUCUUUAAAAUACUUUGAGUGUAGAGUAUGGGUGUGUGGAAAACUUCCUGGAGGAGGUGAGAUGAUCUAAGGGAGGCACGUUGCUCUUGUGGGAUGGAGCAGAGCAUUCAGGGUGGAGAUUCCUGGAUGAUAUGGACAGAGGCAGAGUGAAGUUUCACAUUUUGGAGGAUGGAUAUAGCUGGGCUGCUUUGAAAGAGACAUGUCAAGAUGGAAGUGGACCCAACAUAAAAGUUAGUGGACACGACACAAAAUUGAGUGGCAGGCAUCAAUGAUUUGGAUCAGUCACCCGAGCACAUUCCCUGGAAUUCCAGCAAGUUCACAGAAGGGAUUUUCCUUCUUCAAGCCCCUCUCCCUGCCCUGCCAAUUCUUGACAGUGAUGUUAAACCACACCUGCUUGGCCCCUGAGACAUCUCUCACCUGCCCCGGGUCCUACAGGAAGAUGAACUGCCAAGGUGAAAAGGCUCACGGGAUCACUACUGGGAACAGGGAAGCAGAAAGCCCUCAUUCAACUGGAUGCCCUAGAACUUUUGCUUUUGGACAAAAAUUUGAAAAGUGCUUUGCAAGAGGUCACUUUGUGGAUAGCCCCUCAGGCUCAGAGUCUUUCACUUUCUUCCUGCCCUUACCUUGAAGUUAAGAUUUGUUUCUGUAUGGCACCCCCUUGUCUGAGAGACAGUGACUGGUGCUAUUGCUAUCUGGUAGGGACCAGUAACCAAUUAUAGGACUAGGAGUGGAUCUCUGGAACUCAUACUUGACUCCAUGCUAGAGGCUACAAGGAAUAAAUAAAGAGGUGAGUGCA